AUUGAACGCUGGCGGCAGGCUUAACACAUGCAAGUCGAGCGGAGCGAGGGUGCUUGCACCUUAGCUUAGCGGCGGACGGGUGAGUAAUGCUUAGGAAUCUGCCUAUUAGCGGGGGACAACAUUCCGAAAGGAAUGCUAAUACCGCAUACGCCCUACGGGGGAAGCAGGGGAUCUUCGGACCUUGCGCUAAUAGAUGAGCCUAAGUCGGAUUAGCUAGUUGGUGGGGUAAAGGCCUACCAAGGCGACGAUCUGUAGCGGGUCUGAGAGGAUGAUCCGCCACACUGGGACUGAGACACGGCCCAGACUCCUACGGGAGGAAGCAGUGGGGAAUAUUGGACAAUGGGCGGAAGCCUGAUCCAGCCAUGCCGCGUGUGUGAAGAAGGCCUUUUGGUUGUAAAGCACUUUAAGCGAGGAGGAGGCUACUUAGAUUAAUACUCUGGGAUAGUGGACGUUACUCGCAGAAUAAGCACCGGCUAACUCUGUGCCAGCAGCCGCCGUAA
rnacentral:rRNA from 1 species